GGAUUAGAUACCCUGGUAGUCCACGCCGUAAACGAUGUCUACUUGGAGGUUGUUCCCUUGAGGAGUGGCUUUCGGAGCUAACGCGUUAAGUAGACCGCCUGGGGAGUACGGCCGCAAGGUUAAAACUCAAAUGAAUUGACGGGGGCCCGCACAAGCGGUGGAGCAUGUGGUUUAAUUCGAUGCAACGCGAAGAACCUUACCUACUCUUGACAUCCAGAGAACUUAGCAGAGAUGCUUUGGUGCCUUCGGGAACUCUGAGACAGGUGCUGCAUGGCUGUCGUCAGCUCGUGCCG
rnacentral:rRNA from 1 species